rnacentral:lncRNA from 1 species
GAACUUGUGAUUCUCCUAUCUCAGCCUCCUGUGCCAUUGGGAUCACAGGUAUGUAUCACUGCACCCAGCUAAUGGUAUUUUUUAAAACCUAGUUGUUGUUGUUGUUUUAAUUUUUUUAACUAGCAGACUUUUAUUGAUUUAUUUUGUGGUGCUGGGGAUUGAACCCCAGGCCUUGUCCAUGCUAGGCUAGCUCUACCACGAAUCCACACCCCCAGGCCUGGGAUUGUGUUUUUAAUUUCAAAUUCAACUUGCUGGUACACAGGAAAGCAACAUAUUUUUGCAUAUUAACCUUGUAUCCUGCAUGCUUACUGUAAUUGCUUCUCUGUGUGCUGGUUUAUAUAGUCAACUCCUUUGGAUUUUCUACAAUCAGAGCAAUGGAUAUAUUUUUUUUAAUUACACUUUCCUUUGCUCCUAAGAUCUCAUCUACCUAGUGAGAUAUUUUGUUGGGGUGCGAGGAGGAUCUGAGAGAAAGAACAAUCACCCCAUGAAAGAGGCACAAUAAUUGCAAAACAUCUUAAUUUGAGAUACCUUCAAGUGAGCCUAGGGUCAUGGCUCAGUGGUAAAGUGCUUGCCUAGCAUAUAUGAGGCACUGGGUUCGAUUCUCAGCACCGUAUAUAAAUAAAUAAAAUAAAGGCCCAUCAACAAAUAAAAAAUAAAUAUAUAAAGAAAAAGAUACCUUCAAGAGUCUUGUGGGAAAAUCCUCAUCUUUUUGUGUGUGGGGGGGGGGGGGUUACCGUGGAUUGAACUCAGGUUCAAGUGCUCCUUAAUCAAGUCCUUAAUGUGUGACAUGCAGCUAGGUUGGGGCUUCACAGCUCCAGGGCACCAUAGAGGUAAGACCCAGGCUGUCCAGGGAGCUGUGGCUGUCC